CAGCCGCCACGGGAAUACGUAGGGCGCAAGCGUUGUCCGGAAUUAUUGGGCGUAAAGAGCUCGUAGGCGGUCUGUCGCGUCUGGUGUGAAAUCCCGAGGCUCAACCUCGGGCUUGCAUCGGGUACGGGCAGACUAGAGUGCGGUAGGGGAGACUGGAAUUCCUGGUGUAGCGGUGGAAUGCGCAGAUAUCAGGAGGAACACCGAUGGCGAAGGCAGGUCUCUGGGCCGCAACUGACGCUGAGGAGCGAAAGCAUGGGGAGCGAACAGGAUUAGAUACCCGCGUAGUCCCUGUCUCUUAUAC
rnacentral:rRNA from 1 species